AUUGAACGCUGGCGGCAUGCCUUACACAUGCAAGUCGAACGGCAGCGGACCUUCGGGUGCCGGCGAGUGGCGAACGGGUGAGUAAUGCAUCGGAACGUACCUUUCAGUGGGGGAUAACGUAGCGAAAGUUACGCUAAUACCGCAUAUUCUGUGAGCAGGAAAGCAGGGGAUCGCAAGACCUUGCGCUGAUUGAGCGGCCGAUGUCAGAUUAGCUAGUUGGUGAGGUAAAGGCUCACCAAGGCGACGAUCUGGAGCGGGUCUGAGAGGAUGAUCCGCCACACUGGAACUGAGACACGGUCCAGAUUCCUACGGGAGGCAGCAGUGGGGAAUUUUGGACAAUGGGGGCAACCCUGAUCCAGCCAUGCCGCGUGAGUGAAGAAGGCCUUCGGGUUGUAAAGCUCUUUCGGCCGGGAAGAAAUCGCACGGGCUAAUACCCUGUGUGGAUGACGGUACCGGAAUAAGAAGCACCGGCUAACUACGUGCCAGCCGCCGCCGUAAAAC
rnacentral:rRNA from 1 species